rnacentral:misc_RNA from 1 species
UCUCCGUAGGUGAACCUGCGGAGGGAUCACUACAGGCUCGCAAAAGCUCUGAAACCACUGUUUAUCUACCUAAAUCUGCUUCGGCGGGCGGCCCCAGGGCGGGGCCGUAGCCGCAAGGCGCCCGCCGAAGACCCCUAAACUCUGUCGUCUUGAGAAUCUCUGAGUAUCAUAUUAAACAGAAAACAACUUUCAACAACGGAUCUCUUGGCUCUG